AAACUUUGCCUCCGCCGGCCUGACCUGGUCCUGCUCGGAUUCAUAGUCCUCCUCGUCGGCACUCACGGACAUGGCCAUGGCUCAUGGUGGGCCCAGGCGGGAGCGAUCUGACAUGGCUGGAGCAGCGCGGGCGGCGGUGCGGGAGGGAGCCCGGCUCCGCGCACACGCGCGCACACACAUGCACACACGCACACGCGCGCACGCACACACACACACACACGCGCAGGCGGCCGGGGGAGGUGGGGGGACAUGCAUAUGCAUGCAGCCCGUGCAGGAAGGGGCUGGCCCGCCGCGCCCGCCCAAUGGCAGCCCGCCGCCCGCUCGGCUGCACAAAGGAGGGCCAGGCCCGGCCCGGCCCGGCCCGGCCCUGCCCUGCCUCCCCCGCGCCGCCCCCGGCCCCGGCCCCGGCCCCGGCCCCGCUGCGCCCGCGGGGGCACGCGCCGUCCCGCCCCGCCCCGCCCCGCACCGCACCGCACCUGCCGGGGCCGGGGCUCGGCCGCCUCCCCCGGCACGGGGCAGCGGGCGAGGCACCAAGUGCUGGCACGUGGGGGGACAGCCCCCGGCCCCCGCGCUCAGGUGGGGGGACAGUCCUGCUCUCCGGUGGAGAUGACAGUCCCUGAGCCCUGCUGUCAGACACGGGGGCCGUGCCGGGUCCCUGCUGUCAGGUGGAGAUGGAUGACAGUCCCUGGUCCCUGCUGCUAUCCGAGGUGGGGAGGGCAGUCCCUGGUCCCUGCUGUCAGAUACGGGGGGCCGUCCCUGGGCCCUUUCUGGUUAGACCCCUCAGCUGUCCCCUGUAAGGACACGGGUAGGAGCCUGUCAGAGGGAGGCACGGCCCUGUCCCUUCCAGGGAAGGACAAGAGGAAACAAAAGACCUGCCUUUCCCAUCCAAGGUGCUAAAUGCUUCUUUGAACGUGCCAGUGUUGAAGCCAACACCCUUUGCACCUCUAAAGAAAUGCAACUUAGAAAUCCACACGCAGCUCUGAAUUUGCACUUCCAGGAGGGGAGGUCGGGCUCUGGGAGACCCACGUGCAGGCUGCCGGCAUCCACCCUGGCUCAGCGGAGGAGCUUGCGGGUCAGCCGUGCUGUUCAGGCCAAGGGGGAGGCUCGUGCCGUCACAGCAAGCUCUGGUUCCAGAUGCUCAGCACCAGUGACCUUUCCCAGUUUGGUUUUCUGAUACACUUCAAAACUUCAGCACCGGACAUACACCGCUCAAGUACAUGUUGAUUGAAUGUAACCGAUUUUAACGAGUGCUAGUGCAGGUGUUUCCUAUUUGGAGUCCACAGCAGUAGCCAGAUCAACGUUUGCUUUCGUACCCUUCUCCAUGCCUUCCAAAACCAAAACGAUCCUUCCUCAUGCAGCUCUGGAAAUGUCCUUCACUUCCACAUCUCAGUUGCUCCCAAGACCAAGAUAGGAAUGGGGCACAAAGGAGAGCUCUAACUUUCAUGCCCCUCAAUCUCCCCCUCGGGAGUAACACUUUCCUCUAGUAGAAGAAUAAGGAGAGGACUCCCCAACCUGAACCUUGGGAGGUCGCAGGACAAAACAACCCAGAAGGGAUGGGGACAAGAACGGCUACUUUGGAUACAAUUCCACUAAAACUGAAAAACUUGCACAAAGCUGCCAGGAUCCAAUGCCCGCAGUCUCUCUCAUCACAGGAGAGUGCUGAGAAGCAAAUACUCAAGGCUGUCUUACAGCCAAGAUGUCACCAAACGCCCUCCGAACUCUCUAAGAGGCGUUACAAAUGCAGCUUUACCACAUGCCCCAAACCACAAGCCAUGCAAAGGAGCACAAGCACUCAGUAAACAGAACUGAGCCAAAGCUAGGUGAGAGCAGCUAUCCUUCAAACGCCUUUAAAAGAAGGGAUGACAUGGACAGAAGGUGACCACUUAACGUUCCCCACCCCUCCUUCGAGCACCGGCGGUACUGGAGUCACAGGUACAAAUUCAGCCUGCAUCCCAACCAGCUGAACAUGCAGCACAAAAAUCCAAGCAAAGCUCUUUCAUUGUCUUUUUGCUCCUCUUCCCUUCCCAGUUCUCUGUUCCUGUGCUGGAAUGACUCAGUUCUAGCUUUAACUCUUAAAUGCUGGAGUCCAUUUCACUCAUCCCUGAAGAGCUGUGGAGCAGAAUCCCAGGGACAGGCCUUGGGCUCACUAUGGGAAAACUGUGCCAAACCUCUUUUUGAUACCAUGAGUGCAGCUCUUUUGGCGGCAGCUCUAGGGUAUGCUCCUGAGGUUGAAGGGCAGGGGCGGAUAGGGACAGCAUGGCCUAGGUAGGCAUCCUGGCCGCGGGCAUCCAGCAUGCACUUCCUCCCUUCUUGCCGAGCCAGGGCCAGAAGCUAUGGGGUGGGUACAGGGCUCUGUGCAAGUGGUGGUGGCUUCCUGGGGCCAUCUGUUUCCAGGAGGCCCCAUGGGUGGCCCUGCUCCCACUCCUGCUCUCUGCUGUCUGUGGGUGGCCACUGGUACCAGCGCCACUGGGACAAGAAGGGACUGGACAGCCCUGCCCCACCGGGGCCGGCAGAGGGAUGGGUGGGCAGCCAGAAGCAGCACGGAGACCAUGCUUCCUCCCCCAGACUGGCCCCGGCCCCGGCCCAGGCCUGUCCCGCAGCGCUGGGGGACUGCAGCCCCGGCUGCGCGACACCCACCGGGCAGAGGGGCCAGGCUGCAUUGGGGCCGGGGCUAGGGCCACCUUCACCUCAGCGGCACUCGUGCCCCCUGGCUCACCCCGGACGUGCCGAGGAGGCUGAGUGGGCCCAGCCACAGCCCCCAGCAGGCACAGAGGGAAUCUGCUUUCACCUGGUGAGGGGCUUCUAAUUUUCUGUUUGCCCAGGGCCCCAGUAAAUCUUAAUCCACCACUGCUGAAGGGGUUUAACAUUGUCCCGCUCCAGGACGGGGCUGGAGUCCAUGACCUAAGAGAUGCCUUCCUGGCUCAUAUGCUAUAUUGCUAUGAAAACAGCCUGUUUAGUUAGGUUUUGGUCACUUUUCCUCUCCGUUUCUCAGGCACCGGCACAGCUGCCUGCAAUAUUUGCCCUGUGAACGCUGUGCGAGAUUUUUUAAACACAAAACAUAAAUUUGGUUGCAAUUCACAUGUGAGACACCAUUUCUACAUGACGUGUUAGCUUUUCACCAACAUCUACAGGUUUUCUGGUCCAUACUGAUUAACAGCCCCCUGUCACGGCAUUUCUUACCAGUGCUUUAUGGUUCUAAUCAGAUGGUUAAGUGGCAUUUCUCAAACACCUUCUCUACAUUGUAAAACAGGAUCUGUGGUGGGUCAGAGUCGCACAGAACUGUAGGAAUAUAAACCAGCCAUUAAGAAUGACCAGCUUAUAUAUUGUUAAUGGGUAGACCCAUAUAAAUUUGGGUUUAUGCCACUGUAAUAGAGAUCAAAAUCUCUCUCUCUGCAGGUCCUCAGUCCUUCAGCUGUUUAGCAAGGAUCUGUCGCUGUCAUUAUCCUCACAGAAAACUGAGCUGCUUUAUCACAAUAAGGCCAGAAUACUUUGCUAUAGACUUUAAUUACCAUCCAUAGGUAUGGAUGCUACUAUAGCUGACUGUUGUCUUCUGGCUACAUGAACUGGUUUGAAAAUUAUAUGUAUUCUGCUUUGGGAAAAUUCUGAAGUCCUUAUGCAGUUGUUAUCCGUAUUGUCUACUCAGACAAGAUGGAAAGAUUGACUAAGUACAGGACAGAGCAAAUCCUAAGUGUGGACUUCAGAAUUUAGCUUCUUCGUAUUACAGAUACAAUGUUGAACCUUUGUCAGCCCAUUAGGCUAACGGCCAGCAAUCCGUGCUGCCAAGCUGGCAGUUUACUUAAUCUUCAACUGGAAGAUUAAGCCUGAGGGAUGGAUGAGGAAGGAGUGCCUCAUGCAGACCGCCAAGCCCUCCGGUCAGGCAAGAGCUCUACUCCAUCCUCCCUUGCCAUAGGGUUGGUAGGCAAGAAUCAGGGCUGAAAGGAAGAUGGUACAAACUUGAGAGAUACAGGUGGCUCAUGACUAUGCAAGAUGCUUGGAGCUCAGGACCUUCAAACAUCAAGCCCUAUGUCAAGAUUUAACAGGUUGCCAAGGAAGGGGACAGCUUGACUUAUCAUAAAGAGACACCUCGAUGGCCAGUCCAACACUUCAGCACAGAAGUCCUGCUACUGAGCAACACAUGCCGUUUUCCACUGCAAAUGCCACUGCAAAAUUUAUUCCUAAGAACUGCACCCGGAGGAAGGAACCUCAAAGGUGGGGAGGAUUCGGUAAAAAUAGUAUUCAUGAGUUAGCCACUCCAUCGUGUCUGCAGAUCACCAUUGCAGAGAACACAAAGGGGCACACUCAGCGCCAGACAGGGAAAGGAAAAGGCACUCACGGUCUGUCUGAAUGGGCUUUUAAGCUAAGGGACAAAUCAUACAGUCCACACACCCUUCAAGUUAAUGGCUUAAAUAAGGACUGCAGCAAUGAGCCUUCCAAUCUUUAGUAGAAGUAAAGAAACCUGAAGUGCUAUAUCCAAAUCACAUUGCAGUACGACUCCCUUUAAUGCAAUACAAUAGUAAUUAGUGUGCCUUGCUGUAGCACUUUCCACUGAGAAGCUCCAAAUGCUUAAUACAUAUGAAUUCAGUCUCACAACUACCCAAGGUAAAGAAGCAUCCAAACAGACAUACGAGUCAUCCCACAGAAACAUAAGUGGAGUUGCACCAAUAUAUCAGUUGCCUAUCGGAUCGGCACCAAUAAGAGGGAAAUUUACAUUAUCUACUUUUUUUGGCCGUUGUAGCCAAUAAUAUUUACCAAGAAUGAUGCCUUCUGGCCAGAGCCCUGGACACCUGGGUUGCCUCUCCCCCACAGGGCUGGGGCUCCCCAGAUGCCUGGGUUCUCUUGGAAAACGGCAGGUUUCCCCUUGUAGGUGGGCAGCCUUGUACCCUGCAAGGGAUCCUUCUUGGGGCUGCCGGGAGUGAGACACAGGGGGUGUGGGUGUACAUGCGCAGCCACACACAUGCACAUGGCCAGCAAAACAGCCGGGCAGUGGGAAAGCAGCUCCCUGCAGGUAAGUCUCUGGAGGGGAAGGGACAUGGGGUGGGGCAGAUUAAGUCUAUGGAGGGGCUGGAGCUGGGGGCACUGCCCGGGUG